rnacentral:lncRNA from 1 species
GUGAGGUGGGCGGGGUCAGCCUGCGGUGGAGGGGAAGGGCCCUAGAGCCGUGGGGAGAGGCAGCCCGUGGCCUGGAGCAGUUCGGGGGCGGGGUCAGUCAUAUAAGGCUGUGCCCAGCGCUUUUGGAAGCAGUAAGUCCAGCCCGAGGCUAAGGUGAGAGCGUCUGCCGGGACAGUGUGGCUGGACCCACGUGGCAGGGUGGAUCGGGCGGAGGCCGUCAAGCUAGCCGGAAGGGGCUGUGCUGUCAACCAGCGAGCGCAGGAGGUGUUAACCACCGAAGGGAGGUAGAAUGUUUUUCCCCACCAGAGGAGGCAGCGACCACGUCUCCUCUAUGGAGGCAUUCAAGAGCCGUCCAGCUGAAGCAGCAUCACUGUCUGAGCUCGGAAGGCACAAUCCACAUAGGUCUGCAUGGUCCACCGAGCUGCAUACCCACGGGGCCAGCGGGAGGUGGGCAGCUGCUGGGCUCUCUUCUGAAGCAGACAGGAUCUCACUCUGUUGCUGAGGCUGGAUCACAGCUCCCUGCAACCUUGAACUCUCCCUCAAGCAAUUCUCCCCACUCUGCCUUCCAAAGCACUAGCAUUAUAGGCCUAAGCCACCACUCCCAUCCACUGUAGUGUAAACUGUCUCCUUCAAUGUUUCCAAUAGUUGCGGAGCAGAUCAGAUAAGGGUUCUUCCUGUCUGUUGCUUCAAGUUUCAUUCUCUC